AGAUUGAACGCUGGCGGCAGGCCUAACACAUGCAAGUCGAGCGGUAGAGAGGUGCUUGCAUCUCUUGAGAGCGGCGGACGGGUGAGUAAUGCCUAGGAAUCUGCCUAGUGGUGGGGGAUAACGUUCGGAAACGGACGCUAAUACCGCAUACGUCCUACGGGAGAAAGCGGGGGACCUUCGGGCCUCGCGCCAUUAGAUGAGCCUAGGUCGGAUUGGCUGGUUGGUGAGGUAAUGGCUCACCGAAGGCGACGAUCCGUAACUGGUCUGGAGAGGAUGAUCAGUCACA
rnacentral:rRNA from 1 species